rnacentral:misc_RNA from 1 species
GAUGAAGAACGCAGCAAAUGCGAUAAGUAGUGUGAAUUGCAGAAUUCAGUGAAUCAUCGAAUCUUUGAACGCAGAUUGCGCCCUUUGGUAUUCCUUAGGGCAUGCCUGUUCGAGCGUCAUUUAAACCUUCAAGCUCAGCUUGGUGUUGGGUGACUGUCCGCUUCACCGCGGACUCGCCUCAAAAUUAUUGGCGGCCGGUACAUUGGCUUCGAGCGCAGCAGAAACGCGAACUCGGGCCCGUCGUAUUGGCUCCCAGAAGCUAUCUUCACAAUUUUGACCUCGGAUCAGGUAGGGAUACCCGCUGAACUUAAGCAUAUCAAUAAGCGGAGGA